GAAAAGCACCCCGGGAGGGGAGUGAAAGAGAACCUGAAACCUUGUGUUUACAAGCACCGAAAGUCCAUCAAAGGACGAUCGGGUACCUUUUGUAGAAUGGUCCGGCGAGUGUAUGUAUCUAGCAAGGUUAAGCACUUAAGGUGUGAAGCCAAAGCGAAAGCAAGUCUGAACAGGGCGACAAGUUAGAUGUAUACGACCCGAAACCGGGUGACCUACCCAUGGCCAGGCUGAAGUGAAGGUAAAACUUCAUGGAGGGCCGAACCGACUCCCGUUGAAAUGGUAGCGGAUGAGUUGUGGGUAGCGGAGAAAUUCCAAUCGAACCCGGAGAUAGCUGGUUCUCUCCGAAAUAGCUUUAGGGCUAGCCUUGAAAUAGAUUACUGGAGGUAAAGCACUGAAUUGGCUAGGGGCCGAAAGGUUACUGAACCUUAUCAAACUCAGAAUGCCAGAUAAUCGUUUUUCAGGAGUCAGACGGUGGGAGAUAAGUUUCAUCGUCAAAAGGGAAACAGCCCAGACCCACAGCUAAGGUCCCUAAACAUUGUUAAGUGGAAAAGGAUGUGGGGUUGCAUAAACAACCAGGAUGUUGGCUUAGAAGCAGCCACUCAUUAAAAGAGUGCGUAAUAGCUCACUGGUCGAGUGAUCCCGCGCCGAAAAUUUAACGGGGCUAAACUAUAAACCGAAGCUUGGGAUACCGCAAGGUAUGGUAGGAGAGCGUCAUGUAAGGGGUGAAGUCAUAGCGAAAGCGGUGGUGGACUUUACAUGAGUGAGAAUGCCGGAAUGAGUAGCGAGAAUUAAGUGAGAAUCUUAAUGGCCGAAAGUCUAAGGUUUUUGGAGGAAGGUUCGUCCGCUCCAAGUAAGCCGGGAGCUAAGGCGAGGCCGGAAGGCGUAGUCGAUGCACAUACGGUUGAUAUUCCGUAACCACUGACAACUUAAACAAAAUGACACUUUAGAAGGGCUUGACCCGGGUGCUGGUAAUCCCGGGCGUAAGGGACCGAAAUUUAGUAGGGAAGCAAGCUUGGAUGGAGGCGAGAAAAGUUUUGUGUAUGUAAUGUUGGUGCCCGUACCGCAAACCGACACAGGUGGACAGGAAGAGAAUUCUAAGGCCAGCGGGAGAAGGGUAGUUAAGGAACUCGGCAAAUUGACUCCGUAACUUCGGGAAAAGGAGUGCUCUCGAGAGAGAGCCGCAGAGAAUAGGCCCAGGCGACUGUUUAGCAAAAACACAGGUCUCUGCCAAAUCGAAAGAUGAAGUAUAGGGGCUGACACCUGCCCGGUGCUGGAAGGUUAAGAGGAGGAGUGAGAGCUCCGAAUUGAAGCCCCAGUAAACGGCGGCCGUAACUAUAACGGUCCUAAGGUAGCGAAAUUCCUUGUCGGGUAAGUUCCGACCCGCACGAAUGGUGUAACGAUCUGGGCACUGUCUCAACUACCCGCCCGGCGAAAUUGUAGUACCGGUGAAGAUGCCGGUUACCUGCGACAAGACGGAAAGACCCCAUGGAGCUUUACUGUAGCUUGAUAUUGGGUUUCGGUAAUUUAUGUACAGGAUAUGUGGGAGACUGGGAAGUUAUGGCGCCAGCCAUAAUGGAGUCGAUGUUGGGAUACCACACUUAGAUUGCUGGAAUUCUAACCUGUGGCCAUGAAAC
rnacentral:rRNA from 1 species